rnacentral:miRNA from 1 species
CGAGGUCAAUGAUAUUCAUGA